rnacentral:rRNA from 1 species
UGCCAGCAGCCGCGGUAAUACGGAGGGGGUUAGCGUUGUUCGGAAUUACUGGGCUUAAAGAGUUCGUAGGUGGUUGAAAAAGUUAGAGGUGAAAUCCCAGGGCUCAACCCUGGAACUGCCUUUAAAACUGUUAGUCUUGAGAUCGAGAGAGGUGAGUGGAAUUCCAAGUGUAGAGGUGAAAUUCGUAGAUAUUUGGAGGAACACCAGUGGCGAAGGCGACUCACUGGCUCGAUACUGACGCUGAGGUACGAAAGUGUGGGGAGCAAACAGGAUUAGAUA